rnacentral:rRNA from 1 species
UACGGAGGGGGCAAGCGUUGUUCGGAAUUACUGGGCGUAAAGGGCGCGCAGGCGGCUGCUCAAGUCAGGCGUGAAAGGCCUGGGCUCAACCCGGGAAUUGCGCUUGAGACUGGGCCGGCUUGAGUGCGGGAGAGGAUGGUGGAAUUCCCAGUGUAGAGGUGAAAUUCGUAGAUAUUGGGAAGAACACCGGUGGCGAAGGCGGCCAUCUGGACCGCAACUGACGCUGAGGCGCGAAAGCGUGGGGAGCAAACAGG